GACGAACGCUGGCGGCGUGCUUAACACAUGCAAGUCGAACGGAAAGGCCCCCACCAUUUUUGGUGGGGGUGCUCGAGCGGCGAACGGGUGAGUAACACGUGGGUGAUCUGCCCUGUACUUCGGGAUAAGCUUGGGAAACUGGGUCUAAUACCGGAUAGGACCAUGGUUUAGUGUCUCAUGGUGGAAAAAUUAUUGUUUUGGUGCAGGAUGAGCUCGCGGCCUAUCAGCUUGUUGGUGGGGUAAUGGCCUACCAAGGCGUCGACGGGUAGCCGGCCUGAGAGGGUGGACGGCCACAUUGGGACUGAGAUACGGCCCAGACUCCUACGGGAGGCAGCAGUGGGGAAUAUUGCACAAUGGGCGCAAGCCUGAUGCAGCGACGCCGCGUGAGGGAUGGAGGCCUUCGGGUUGUGAACCUCUUUCGCCAGUGAAGAAGGUCCUGCUCUUUGUGGUGGGGUCGACGGUAGCUGGGUUAAUGAAGCGCCGGCUAA
rnacentral:rRNA from 1 species